rnacentral:tRNA from 1 species
GGCUACGUAGCUCAGCUGGUUAGAGCACAUCACUCAUAAUGAUGGGGUCAUUAACCCGUCGUAGCCACCA